rnacentral:misc_RNA from 1 species
GCCGCCUUAAGUCCAGAUUACAUGCCGAGUCGGUAACGAUCUUCAAAUCACCACAUGUUGAGGACGAGGCGCGCCUCGUCGGACAUCCGGUCAGGGGUCCAGGUCGGCUCCCAGACCACGUUGACGCUGACGGGGCCCACGCCAGCGACGCUGGCAACCGCGUUUUCAACCAUGGUCGGCAGCUCGCCGGCGGCCGGACAGUUCGGCGUCGUCAGAGUCAUNNNNNNNNNAGCGAUCGUCCUUGAUGUCGACCUUGUAGAUCAGGCCGAGCUCAUAAAUGUCCGCCGGGAU